rnacentral:rRNA from 1 species
AGCGAACGCUGGCGGCAGGCUUAACACAUGCAAGUCGAGCGGGCAUCCUUGUGGUGUCAGCGGCAGACGGGUGAGUAACGCGUGGGAACGUGCCCUUCGGUUCGGAAUAACUCCGGGAAACUUGAGCUAAUACCGGAUACGUGCGAGAGCAGAAAGGUUUAUCUGCCGAAGGAUCGGCCCGCGUCUGAUUAGCUAGUUGGUGAGGUUAUGGCUCACCAAGGCGACGAUCAGUAGCUGGUCUGAGAGGAUGAUCAGCCACACUGGGACUGAGACACGGCCCAGACUCCUACGGGAGGCAGCAGUGGGGAAUAUUGGACAAUGGGGGCAACCCUGAUCCAGCCAUGCCGCGUGAGUGAUGACGGCCUUAGGGUUGUAAAGCUCUUUUCUCCGGGACGAUAAUGACGGUACCGGAGGAAUAAGCCCCGGCUAACUUCGUG